UACGUAGGGGGCAAGCGUUAUCCGGAGUUACCGGGCGUAAAGGGCGUGUAGGUGGUUUCGUAAGUCUGGCGUGAAAUAUCUCGGCUUAACCGAGGCAGGUCGUCGGAUACUGCGGAACUGGAGGACGGUAGAGGCGUGUGGAAUUCCGGGUGUAGUGGUGAAAUGCGUAGAGAUCCGGAGGAACACCAGUGGCGAAGGCGACACGCUGGGCCGUACCUGACACUGAUGCGCGACAGCAUGGGGAGCAAACAGG
rnacentral:rRNA from 1 species